rnacentral:misc_RNA from 1 species
UUUCCGUAGGUGAACCUGCGGAAGGAUCAUUAAAGUUAUAGUCCCCCGGCCCUCUGGGCUGGGGUCUUCUAUACCACCCUUUGUUUAUUACACCUUCGUUGCUUUGGCAGGCCUGCCCUCGGGCUGCUGGCUCCGGUCGGCUCGCGUCUGCCAGAGGACCUAAACUCUGUUUGUAUAUGAAGUCUGAGUACUAUAUAAUAGUUAAAACUUUCAACAACGGAUCUCUUGGUUCUG